GCCACCUUAGCUCAGUUGGUAGAGCUCCCGCCUUGUAAGCGGACGGUCGCCGGUUCGAGUCCGGCAGGUGGCUCCA
rnacentral:tRNA from 1 species